UUGAUCAUGCAUUUGUAUAGGUUAAAAUAAACGUUUUAAGUUCUGAUAAAAAAUAAUUCUACAUCAUGAAUUCAGGGUUAGUGUUUCAUAACUACACUGCAUUACAAACAUUAUUCUUAUCUUUAAGUACUUUAAUUUAACUUUUCGUUCCAGGAGUGAUGAGUGUUAAAUGUCAUAGAGUAAAAAAAAUGAAUUGAUAGUUAAAGUUCUCAAUGAAAGAGAGUCAAAAGAUGUCAAGCACAUGAAGACAAGAAUUGUUAAUGGUAAAAGAAAAAGGAAACUGAAGUAGAACUUAAAUAAAUAAAUAUUCAUAUGAAAUGACAGGACAUGUAUUCCCAGAAUAAUUUAUUCGACCUUCAACAAAGCUGAAGAAAAUUAACUGAGAAGAGUGAAUUUGUAGUAAUAGAAAUAGGAUUUAAUGUAUCUAUGCCUCAUGGUGGCCCAAAAUGCAUUCGCUGGCUAUAAUUUUAUUGUCGCCUCACGUUUGCUUUGUUUGCUGGCAUCAUGAAAGUUAAGACACUUUUCUUUUUUAUCUUUGCUAGAUUCUUGAUAGUCUGGGAAGUACCAAAAGGAGGAUAAACAAAAGUUACUUUAUGCUGUCGACAGAAUAUAGAUUUGUGGCAGACUUCUGGCUGAUUUUGUUGACUGUGAUGAUAUUAGUUAAUCUGUACAUUCACUAUCCUAUCUAGAUUCAAAAGGUCUCUUUUCUAGAAGAACUUAAUAUAGAAGAUGCGGAACUACUUACAAAAUGGAGUUGGGAAGUAAAUCUAUGAAGAAACAGAAUAGAUAAUACUCACAACGAAGUGACGUUAAGCUCAAACUUGCCUCAGUUUCCAAUUGCUUCUUUUCUUAUCUUUUAAGCCUUGGCAUAAUUGAUUUUGCUGGCAAACUGGUCGAAGGAAGGUGAUGGUGGUCGAGUGCUGAUGACCCCUUUCGGUGCCUGGCUGCAUGCAUCAAUCUUAGUGAAGAUGUUAGAAGCUCAUCCCAGAGACGACUAUUUCUCAUAUUCUUGUGCACCAGGUAAGUUUCACCAUUAAUUUAGUCCUACACAU